rnacentral:rRNA from 1 species
UACGGGGGGAGCAAGCGUUGUUCGGAAUCACUGGGCGUAAAGAGCGUGUAGGCGGCCAGAUAAGUCCGCUGUGAAAUCUCGAGGCUCAACUUCGAGCUGUCGGUGGAAACUGUCUGGCUAGAGUCCGGAAGAGGAGAAUGGAAUUCCUGGUGUAGCGGUGAAAUGCGCAGAUAUCAGGAAGAACACCCGUGGCGAAGGCGGUUCUCUGGGACGGUACUGACGCUGAGACGCGAAAGCGUGGGGAGCAAACAGG